UACGAAGGGGGCUAGCGUUGCUCGGAAUCACUGGGCGUAAAGCGCACGUAGGCGGCUUUCUAAGUCAGGGGUGAAAUCCUGGAGCUCAACUCCAGAACUGCCUUUGAUACUGGGGAGCUUGAGUCCGGGAGAGGUGAGUGGAACUCCGAGUGUAGAGGUGAAAUUCGUAGAUAUUCGGAAGAACACCAGUGGCGAAGGCGGCUCACUGGCCCGGUACUGACGCUGAUGUGCGAAAGCGUGGGGAGCGAACAGG
rnacentral:rRNA from 1 species